rnacentral:misc_RNA from 1 species
AGAUGAAGAAGAAGCUAGGGUUUCUCAAUUUCAGAAUACCGGACCCGAUUGGUCCAUUGAAAUUGGGGCUAUUGCUCUGAAUCUGUAAAUCGGGAGUGAUUAGUUUCGAAAUGGAAUUGAGGGAGGGAUCUGGAGAAGCCGAGAAGGAAUUGAAGAGGUCAACUGUAGGGUUUGGAAAUGUUCGUCGGGGAGAUCGUAGAAAUGAAUGAUCAGAAUGUGGAGAAGGGAUUCGGGAAAAGGGAUCGUGG